GGCUUAAAUCUAGAAACAGUUUAAUCGUGACACUCAAACCGAAUACGACCUACAAAACGAAAAGGUAGUUUACAAAAAAAUAAUAAAAAAAAACUCAAUUCUAAACUAAGAAGGAGUCUUCAGAAGUCUAUCGGACAAAAAAAGUGAAUUUUUCCCCGAACAUCAUAACACAGUAAUUAAACGUCAAACAAACCAUUCACUGGACACGAUCAGAUAAAUCAAGAAAACUUCUUAACUUUAAGUUCAGUGCAUUUUGAAAAAA
rnacentral:sRNA from 1 species